CCCCCCUGGAGGCAGCGGGCGUGCCUGGGGCGCGGCCAUCGGCCAUGCGUUGGAGCGGAGCGGGGCUGGGAAGUUUCCCGCUGGGCCCCGGCUGCGGCGGCGGGGUCGGGGUCGGGUCCGGACCCCCGAGGACCACCUCUGGGCCUCAUCCCCCUCCUCCCGGGACCGGCUCCGGACCUCGUCCCCCUCCCCCCGGGACCGGCUCCGGACAGCAUCCCCCUCCUCCCGGGACCGACUCUAAACAUCACCUCCCUACCUCCAGGACCGGCUCCGGGAUAUCCCCCUCUCCCAGGGACCGGCUCCGGACAGCAUCCCUCUCCCCCCAGGACCGGCUCCGGACAGCAUCCCUCUCCCCCCAAGGACCGGCUCCGGACAGCAUCCCUCUCCCCCCAAGGACCGGCUCCGGACAGCAUCCUCCCCUCUCGCCCCCGCCCCCGAGUACCGGCUCCUGACCUCAUCCCUCUCCCCCCGGGGACCGGCUGCCGAUAGCAUCCCU
rnacentral:lncRNA from 1 species